GGGGUGGUGGGGUGAGAGAUUUUUUUUUUUUUCCUAGCCAUUGGACGGAGGCUAAGUGUCUUUUUCAGUGUUGGGUUUUCGAGUCUGGUAGGGGUCUGGUAGGGAUCUCAGGAAACGCCCCUCCCCAUCUAGGUUCUGUUAAGGUACCUGGCGCCAGGUAGCCAGCGAGAAGGGCGACAUGAUGACCCUGGACGGGAGGACCAGGGAAGGGCAGCAGUGAGAAAGAACCAUGUAGGGAUUUGCGAAUUCUGCUGUAAAGGGACUUGAUUAACCGAAUCUGGGACUGGUCUGCGAACUCCUCGGACCUCAUCCGCGCGCGGCUGCCCAGUUGGCGUAUCUAAGGGGGGACGUUGCUUCAGCGGGACUAGUAAACACCUUUCUAAAGUCACUUCCUAAGGUUCCUGAAAUGUGGGCUCCUUGCAUAUGUGUUUACGAACGAAUUCUCUAGAGAGACUAGAUGAAAGGUGUGAUUAUUGCCAGAUGUUUGUGUGCCCAUCUGGGGACAAAUUCUCUGAUUUCCUGUGUGGGGAAGGGUAUCCUAUCCUCCCUGCCCUUGAUACGUGGCUGUGAGCUGUCUUGCUCCUGGUUGCAUACACUACUAUACAUACUAUUAAUCCAAUUCAUAGAGUUUUUCUCUCAGUGACAGGUAUUUACAGUGCUAUAAAAUUGUCGUUACUUCUGUCAGGGAGGAAGGCCCUGGGCCGUUAAAUGAUGGUAUAAUGCAGAGACUAUUAGGUGUGAGCAUGUAGUCUUUUGUUAUUCCCCCCGCCCCCCCCCCCAAAAAAAAAAAAAAAAAGGUUUGAGUUAUGUGUGGACAUAGCCACUGUGGGAAAUUAAGACGAGCAUUUUGUAUUGAUUAAAUUUUUGUUCCUCAGUUUCCAAAGCCCCAUUUUGUGUUGUCUGUUCACUUUUGCUUUUGGUGACUCUAAUGUUUUCCAAGACCUGGGAAUCAUUUUCAUUGAAGGAUCAAUGUGUUCUUUUGUACUCUGUGGUGAAGACUAAUGGAGACCACCAGGGUUCUGGACACUUCUGGUGCAGUAUGCUUUGUAAUAAGUAGAAAAUGUCUUCCGCAUACAGAUCCAGAUCACAUAAAGACGCAAGAACAUCGUCGGUGAGUGAUUAUGGACAUUAUGAAUAG
rnacentral:lncRNA from 1 species